AUGGACCCAGCCACCGUACAGGGCCCAUCCGUCUUCCCCUUGGCCCCCUGCUCCAAAGGCCCCGCCGGGGGCGCCGCCUCCGUGACGCUGGGCUGCCUGGUCAGGGACUACUUCCCGGAGCCCGUGACCGUGGCCUGGGACGCGGGGUCCCUGACAACAAGCGUCGUGACCUUCCCCGCCGCCUUCAACUCCGGCCUCUACACCACCAGCAGCCAGGUGACCGCCUCUGGCGAGUGGGCCAAACAGCGGUUCACCUGCAGCGUGGUGCACCCCGCCGGGUCCACAACCGUCAACAGGACCAUAGACCCAGCGCCAGCGUGCGCCACGAACGUCACCCUGCCCACGGUGGGGAUCUACCACUCGUCCUGCGACCCCAGCGGCAACACCCAGGCCACCAUCCAGCUGCUGUGCCUCAUCCCCGGCUUCACCCCGGGCGACCUGGAGGUCACCUGGCUGGUGGACGGGCAGACCGAGAACCUGUUCCCGAUCACCGGCCCCGCCAGUUGGGAGGGCGCGCUGGCCUCCACCUUCAGCCAGCUCAACAUCAGCCAGGGCGAGUGGCUGUCCCAGAGAACCUACGCCUGCCAGGCCAGCCUGCACGGCUGCACGGUUAAGGCCGAAGCCCGCGCCUGCCCAGAGGCCGAGCCCCGCGGCGUGAGCGUCUACGUGAUCCCGCCCAGCCCUCUGGACCUGUACGUCCACAAGUCGCCCAAGGUCACCUGCCUGGUGGUGGACCUGGCCAGCCUGGAGGGCAUGAGCCUGCAGUGGUCCCGGGAGGGCGGGGACCUCACGAACGAGGCCACCCAGACCAACAAGCGCCACUUCAACAUGACCUACUCCGUCACGUCCACCCUGCCCGUGGACGCCGGCGACUGGAUCGAGGGCGAGACCUACAAGUGCAAGCUGACCCACCCGGACCUGCCCCAGGACAUCGUGCGCACCAUCGCCAAGGCCCCGGGCAAGCGCGCUGCCCCCGAGGUCUUCGUGUUCCCGCCGCCCAAGGAGGAGGGGGCCCAGGACACGCUCACCCUCACCUGCCUGAUCCAGGGCUUCUUCCCCGCCGACAUCUCGGUGCAGUGGCUGCGGGACAACGCCCUGCUCCCCAGCCACCAGUACACCACCACGCGGCCCCUCAGGGACAGGGGCGCCAGCCCCGCCUUCUUCGUCUUCAGCCGCCUGGAGGUCAAGGGGGCCGACUGGAAGAGGAGCAACUUCACCUGCCGAGUGACCCACGAGGCUCUGCCCAACUCACGGACCCACGACCAAUCAGUGUCCAAAGAGCUGGACCUGCAGGACCUGUGUGUGGGGGCGGCCGAGGCUGAGGAGCUGGACGGGCUGUGGCGCAGCCUCUUGGUCUUCAUCGCGCUCUUCCUGCUCAGCGUGACCUAUGGCGCCUCCGUCACCCUCUUCAAGGUGGGACCUUGGGUCUUGGGCGCCGUCCUGCAGGGGCCGCCCCGGGCCACCCACGACUACGAGAACAUCGAGGACACCGUGCGGCCGGCGGCCUGGGCACGGAGCAGCUGA